UUACCCUAAAAUAGUUUGGUUUCAGCAUCAACCCCUUUCUUCGAAUCUCGACGGCAGAAACAAAGACCAAGUUUAUCUCCGGUGAGAGAGAGAGAUAGAAAACGUUGAUUCCGGCGAAAAGAUGACUGAAUUCGAAGAUCACGAGGGAAACGGUACGGUUGCUGACGCGCUUUACGCUGAAGAGAAUGGUGGCCGCGGCGGCGAAAUCGAGGAUCAAUUGGACUCGAAACCUAAGAGAGACUCGCGUGACCAUGAAAGAGAGACAUCAAGAAGUAAAGAUAGAGAAAGAGAGAAGGGUCGUGAUAGGGACAGAGAAAGGGACUCUGAAGUCUCUCGCCGAAGCAGGGAUAGAGAUGGAGAGAAAGGCAAGGAGAGGAGUAGAGAGAAAGACAGAGAUCGUGAGCGUCAUCACAGAAGCAGUCGUCACAGGGAUCAUAGUAGGGACCGUAGUGAAAGAAGAGAACGUGGUGGUAGGGAUGAUGAUGAUUACCGUCGAAGCCGUGAUCGUGACCAUGAUAGGCGUAGAGAUGAUCGAGGAGGUAGACGCAUUCGUCGAUCUCGUUCUCGUUCAAAGGAUAGAUCUGAGCGAUCUCCAUCGAAAAGUAAGCGAGUCAGUGGAUUCGAUAUGGCACCUCCAGCCUCUGCAAUGUUAGCUGCUGGUGCUGCUGUUACAGGUCAAGUUCCUCCCGCACCACCAACUCUUCCUGGGGCUGGAAUGUUUCCCAACAUGUUUCCGUUGCCGACUGGACAGUCAUUUGGGGGACUCUCUAUGAUGCCAAUUCAGGCUAUGACACAGCAGGCAACUAGGCAUGCUCGCAGAGUCUAUGUCGGUGGGCUUUCCCCUACGGCAAAUGAACAGUCCGUGGCUACAUUUUUUAGUCAAGUUAUGGCUGCUGUUGGUGGUAACACUGCUGGUCCAGGUGAUGCAGUUGUUAAUGUCUACAUAAACCACGAGAAGAAGUUUGCUUUUGUGGAGAUGCGAUCUGUUGAAGAGGCAAGUAACGCUAUGUCUUUGGAUGGGAUUAUAUUUGAGGGAGCUCCAGUGAAGGUGAGGAGACCUAGUGACUAUAACCCAUCUCUAGCUGCAACUCUUGGUCCAAGCCAGCCCAGUCCCCAUCUAAACUUAGCUGCUGUUGGUCUGACUCCAGGUGCUUCUGGUGGGCUUGAGGGACCAGAUCGUAUUUUUGUUGGUGGACUUCCAUAUUACUUCACUGAAUCCCAAGUCAGGGAGUUGUUGGAGUCCUUUGGAGCCCUUAAGGGCUUUGAUCUUGUAAAAGAUCGAGAAACAGGGAACUCUAAAGGAUAUGCCUUUUGUGUGUACCAAGAUCUUUCUGUUACAGAUAUCGCGUGCGCUGCCCUAAAUGGUAUCAAGAUGGGAGAUAAGACUCUUACAGUGAGACGUGCCAACCAGGGAACAAUGCAACCAAAGCCUGAACAAGAGAGCGUAUUAUUGCAUGCGCAGCAGCAAAUUGCUUUUCAGAGGAUUAUGUUACAGCCUGGUGUAAUGGCAACAACUGUGGUAUGUCUGACUCAAGUUGUUACUGAGGAUGAGCUUAGAGAUGACGAGGAGUAUGAAGAUAUAAUGGAAGACAUGAGACAAGAAGGCGGAAAGUUUGCCUUUUGCUAUAAAGAAUCAGCCUUAACAUACACAGACAGGAGACUGCAUAAACCUUCUAAUCUAUUUUUCACCAAUGGCCCACUUUUUCUUGAAAGAAAAAACUAACUUGUUUUUGUCUCUUCUGUUUUCUUGUCCUGUAUUCGAAAUGUUUGUUCUUUAACUCUUAAAAUGCAGGUGCUUUGACCAAUGUUGUGAUUCCGCGUCCAAGCCCCAAUGGUGAGCCAGUGCCUGGCCUUGGCAAGGUGUUUUUGAAGUAUGCCGAUACAGAUGGAUCGACGAGGGCAAGAACCGGAAUGAAUGGUAGGAAAUUCGGAGGAAAUGAAGUCGUUGCAGUGUAUUACCCUGAAGACAAGUUUGAACAGGGUGAUUACGGAGCCUGAUGACUUUCUUUGUUUGCUUUCUAUUACUUAAGUUUUCCAAGUAUUUUGCUGCUUCAGUUUAAAACCCUUUGAGACAAAGAGAUGAUCGAUACAUUUGCUUGUUAUAACG